rnacentral:rRNA from 1 species
UACGUAGGGGGCAAGCGUUGUCCGGAUUUAUUGGGCGUAAAGAGCGUGUAGGCGGCUUUGCAAGUCCGUUGUGAAAACUCGAGCUCAACCUCGAGACGCCGGUGGAAACUGCAAAGCUAGAGUCCGGAAGAGGCGAGUGGAAUCCUGGUGUAGCGGUGGAAAUGCGCAGAUAUCAGGAGGAACACCAAUUGCGAAGGCAGCUCGC